UGAGGAAUAUUGCACAAUGGGCGCAAGCCUGAUGCAGCAACGCCGCGUGCGGGACGAAGGCCUUCGGGUCGUAAACCGCUUCUCUGGGGGAAGAGCAAGGACGGUACCUCAGGAAUAAGUCUCGGCUAACUACGUGCCAGCAGCCGCGGUAAAACGUAGGAGGCGAGCGUUAUCCGGAUUUACUGGGCGUAAAGCGCACGCAGGCGGCUCUGUUAGUCGGACGUGAAAGCUCUCGGCUUAACCGGGAGAGGCCGUUCGAUACUGCGGGGCUUGAGGUAGGGAGAGGAAUGCGUAAUUCCCGGUGUAGGGGUGGAAUGCGUAGAUAUCGGGAGGAACACGUGUGGCGAAAGCGGCAUUCUGGCCCUCACCUGACGCUGAGGUGCGAAAGCGUGGGUAG
rnacentral:rRNA from 1 species